UACGGGGGGGGCAAGCGUUGUUCGGAAUUACUGGGCGUAAAGGGCUCGUAGGUGGCCAACUAAGUCAGACGUGAAAUCCCUCGGCUUAACCGGGGAACUGCGUCUGAUACUGGAUGGCUUGAGUUUGGGAGAGGGACGCGGAAUUCCAGGUGUAGCGGUGAAAUGCGUAGAUAUCGAGAGGAACACCUGCGGCGAAGGCGGGUUGCUGGGCUGACACUGACGCUGAGGCGCGAAAGCUAGGGGAGCGAACGGG
rnacentral:rRNA from 1 species